rnacentral:rRNA from 1 species
UGCCAGCAGCCGCGGUAACACGUAGGCACCAAGCGUUAUCCGGAUUUAUUGGGCGUAAAGAGCUUGUAGGCGGUUCGGUAAGUCGGGUGUGAAAACUCUGGGCUCAACCCAGAGAGGCCACCCGAUACUGCUGUGACUAGAGUGCGGUAGGGGAGCGGGGAAUUCAUGGUGUAGCGGUGAAAUGCGCAGAUAUCAGGAGGAACACCAGUGGCGAAGGCGACUCUCUGGACAGUUACUGACGCUGAGGAACGAAAGCGUGGGGAGCAAACAGGAUUAGAUA